rnacentral:rRNA from 1 species
UACGGAGGUGGCAAGCGUUGCUCGGAUUUAUUGGGUGUAAAGGGCACGUAGGCGGCCUUGUAAGCCCUGCUUGAAAGGCCCGGGCUUAACCUGGGUACGUGGUGGGGGACUGCAAGGCUUGAGGGUGGGAGAGGUCAGUGGAAUUCCCGGUGUAAGGGUGAAAUCUGUAGAUAUCGGGAGGAACACCAGUGGCGAAGGCGACUGACUGGACCACUUCUGACGCUGAGGUGCGAAAACUAGGGGAGCAAACAGG